UUGACUGCUCACCUGCGUUGUGCUUGGCCAGGUAUUUGUCUUUGUACUGUUUCUUCUUUUUGCCAAACCAGGUGCAACUUGCCUGCUGCUCCUGCUUGGUCUUCUCCAUUGCAAUGCAGGCAACGCGCCUAAAAGCAGAGCACUGAAAACGGCUGUCAAACAACAUUCACUCACCACUCCUGCAGCUCAGGUGAUGGGAUGAGACCGGCUGUGCCAUUCUUGGUGUUUUCCAGCUUCCCCUGCCACCAGUUGUGGUCGUCUUUGGAGAUGAUCUGAAUUAUGUCCCCCACCUGGAAGCGAAUGCCUGCUUCCUUGCACGGACAUGGACUGGGACCUGUAACUGGGCACAAUCUUGAAGGUGAUACUUCCUCUCAUCUCCCUCUGUGGGUAAGGUAAAAAGAAGAUUGAUUAAACAGAGACACUGAGAGCAGACAAAUGUAAACAUUUAGGCCUCUACAACUAUAGAGAUUUAAAAUCCUACAGCUUAGAAGUGAAUGAAUGACUUUGCAGUCCUGGUAUAAAUGCUAUUACCUAAUAGAUUUUUUUAAAUAGUGUGUCAA